GAGGAGAGCAAAGACCCACAAUGGCAGUGCCUGGCUGAUGGAGCCGAAGGAGGGCUGGGACCCCAGCAAUGGGCUGGAUGGGCAGGAGAGCCGAGCCCCAGUCAGGCAGCACCUCCACACCGGGGUUUCAAUUCCUCCGAUUCACACUGGCCUGCUGUAGCAGAAACUGCACUCAAACUCCCAGCCCCACAGGCUGCUUUCAGUUCUGGGUCGCGCGAGGUAGACGGACCUCAGGCAGGCCGGCGUGGGCUCACCCAGACCUCAGGCGGGCCGGAGUGGGUUCACUCUGGCAAGCCCAGGGCCAGGCAGGCCAAAUGGGUGGGGGAGGAGGCUGCCUGUGCUUGUGGGGGCAGAGCUGGGGCACCCUGGACGUCACAGCCCUCUAAGCGGCUACCCCCAGCCAGACCCUGCAAAGCUUCCUGAGCAAUCAGAUCCCAGACAGUUCUAUGAAAUUUCUAGCUUCUAAUGCUGGCUCAGCUGGAAAGAAGAGAAAGAGCGUUCAAGCUAAUGUCGGCCGAGCUGCCCCUACGGCUGGGUUCAGGGCUUCUGAAUAAUGCCUGGGAACCAGCAUACAGACCAGGAAGUUUACUCCAGGACUUUUAGAACCGCCCAACACAUAGCUGACACAUCAACUCCGAAAUCAGACUGCACCAGGAGGGCGGGCACCGAAACCAAAUGCGCCUGACAGCACCCUCCUGAGUUCACGCACUCACUAGGAGAAGAUAAUCAGAAUCCAGCCCCGGAGGAAGGGCCCCGGUUACUUUCUCCCCACUCUCGAAGUUCGCAUCUUUCGGAAUAAAACCACUGAAACACCAUCAGGGCUGCGUGCGUUACCUGCGGCCACUUUCCAUUUGACUGCGCACGUCUCUUGAUUUCUUCUACUGUUUUCCUGCGAGAAUCCUGGUCUGACCGGGACACGAACACAGGCCGUAUAUACCGGAUCAGAGCUGGAAGAGAGGAGGGGAGAGGAUCACGUGGAAUGCACGGCUCCCGCCAGGUCCGUGGAUUAUCUCUGAAAUGACAAGAAACACACAGGGCUCCACGAGGGCCCUGCACACAGCAGCAGGGCUAUGGCCAUUCUUCCUGCUGCGCCGAGAUGAAGGCCAGUGCUGGGUCACCUGGGUUGGUCCGGAAGAGGUGGAAUCCCGGGCCUCUAGAAAGAUGGGACUACAACGUCCAGCGUCAUCGCACCAAACACUCCUUCGUGCUGGCGAUCUCCACAGGGAGGCACCAAGGGGCACAGGGAGAGCCCGGCCAACGCUCAGGUUCACUCUGGGUGGGCCAGCCCCCCGUCCAAGGACCCCUGCAGCUGCAAGGGUGCCUGGGCACAUGGCUCCACAAUCCCCCUCCCUGAGCAGAUGACGACAACCACGGGCUUUUGCCACGGUGGGGGCGCAAACGUGGUUUCCCGGGUAUGCCAGAACCACAGGAUGCAAAGGGUGCUGAGUGGAGCUGAGGCUGCCCCAUGAGCCUGUGGAGCUUACAGAGCGGGGAAACCUGCGUGUGAGAGCCAAGGCCAUCACUCGGAUGGUGCCUGCAGUCCAGUCUCGCCUCCAGUGCCGGCCUGUCCAGCCUCCUCCAGGCUUCCCCAGCCAGCUGAGUGCUGCGAGCCCUCCAGUCCCACCAAGGACCAUCCCUGAUUUCCAAGCCUGACCCAGGCAGACUCAGGCCACCCACAACUGCCCAGCUGCAGGCACAGUCUGGACACCCCCCAGCUGCUGCAGGCCCAAUCCCCCACGGGCCGUGCCGGGGUUCCUCACCCCACUUCCAGCCUUCCUAUCCCAGCUGUGGCCGCCACCCUCAGUGGUCAGCACCACAGAAUGUGUCCCCACCCAGUCCAUACUGAAUGUGUCCCCCCAGAUAUUCUCUAGAAAACUGUUACAUGAAUGCUAACGUUAGGUGCUGCAUGGAAACAGAGCCGGCAGGAGCGCCCAGGUGAGGGCCCCGGCCACAGGUGACGCCCCUCCUCCCGGCAGCUCCUUCCCUCAGCACCGCCCACUGCCAACCCAGGACCCGCUGUGCCCCAGAACGUGCUGUGCUGUGCUGACGGUGCCUGCGAAGGAAGCACGAGGACAGAACGGGCCCAGCUGCCCUGAAGAGCACCAAAGACAGCGCUCUGGCAGGUCAGGGCUGCGCACAGGUGGGUGAGGGGCCACACAGGGCUCCAGGGCUCCCUACAGUCCUCGCAGAGCAGUGGGUCCAUGGGAUGCCGCCCCCAAAGAUGGGUCCACAUGCUGACCCUGGAACCUGUGAAUGGGGCCUUAUUUGGAAAAAGGUUUUUACAGAGGUAACUGGUUAAGGAUCUGAAGACAAGAGCAUCCUGGAUCACCCAAUGACUGGUCCUUAUAAGAGACACACGGAGGAGACACUUGGAGGGAGCCAGGCCAGUUGCCCACUGAGGCAGAGUCAGAGCGAUGCAGCCACAGCCCAGGAUCGCCUGCAGCCCCCGGAGGAGGAAGAGGCAGGAAGGGGCCCCACAGGGCCUUCGGCCCAGAGACGCCUUGAUUUUGAACAUCUGGUCACCAGAUGACGAGAGGGUGAAUCUCUGCUGCAGUGAGUCCCCGGCUUUGGGGAGGGGUCACGGCAGCACCAGGUGCUCAGGCCCCUGGGUUCACGGCACAGCCCCGGUGCAUGGGCAGCCCUGCCGACCUACUCCCAAAGACUUCCAGAACUGCCAUCUGAUAAAGGUGACCCACCCUUGCCAAGCAGACCUGGAGCAAGCACUGUAGCCUGUUAUGAUAGUGAGGGCACUCAGGUACCAAUAAAAAUAACAAUUACAACAAUGAAAAUUACACAGGAAACCACAACACAGAAAAUGGGGCACAAGGCCAAUAUGCCCGGCGGUGGGGGCUCGAUCACUCCCAGCAGCGUGGGGGGGGUCCCUCACUCCCGGCAUGGGGGUCUCACUCAUUUCCCCUCAUUCCUAGCAGGGAAGGGAUCUCUCAUUCCCAGAAGGGGGGGUCCCUCAAAACCAGCAGGGAGUCCCUCACUCCGAGCAGCAGAGGGGGUCUCAUUCCCAACAGAGGGGGGACCCUCACUCCCAGCAGGAGGGGAAUCUCUUAUUCUCAGCGGCAGGGAGAUCUCAUUCCCAGCAGGGCGGGGUCCCUCACUCCCAGCAAGGGGUGUCUCACUCACUUCCCCA